rnacentral:rRNA from 1 species
CCUACGGGGGGCAGCAGUGGGGAAUAUUGCGCAAUGGGCGAAAGCCUGACGCAGCGACGCCGCGUGAGGGAUGAAGGUCUUCGGAUCGUAAACCUCUGUCAGCAGGGAAGAACGGUCACUGUGCUAAUCAGCAGUGAAUUGACGGUACCUGCAAAGGAAGCACCGGCUAACUCCGUGCCAGCAGCCGCGGUAAUACGGAGGGUGCGAGCGUUAAUCGGAAUUACUGGGCGUAAAGCGCUCGUAGGCGGUAUGUCAAGUCAAGGGGGAAAUCCCCGCGCUAAACGUGGGAACUGCCUUUGAAACUGGCAAACUGGAGUGUGUGAGAGGAUAGUGGAAUUCGAGGUGUAGGAGUGAAAUCCGUAGAUAUCUGGAGGAACAUCAGUGGCGAAGGCGACUAUCUGGCACAUAACUGACGCUGAGGAGCGAAAGCGUGGGUAGCAAACAGGAUUAGAUACCCCUGUAGUC